UAAAAUAAUUAAGGGCACACAAAGGAUGCCUAGGUAGUAAGAGCCGAUGAAGGACGUGGUAAGCUGCGAUAAGCCUAGAUAAGUUGCAAUCGAACGUAAGAGUCUAGGAUUUCCGAAUGGAGCAAUCUAUUAAGAUGGAGUCUUAAUACGAAAGAGGGAACCGCGUGAACUGAAACAUCUAAGUAACGCGAGGAAAAGAAAGUAAAAACGAUACCCAAAGUAGCGGCGAGCGAACUGGGUCAAGCCUAAACCUUAAAUAUGUCAAGGAUACAGCCGUUGUAUUUAAGGGGUUGAGGGACUAAGUUGUGAAGAACUGUAAGAUAUUCAAUAUAGUGUAUUGAUGAAUUAGAAUUGUAUGGAAAGAUAAACCGUAGAAGGUGAGAGUCCUGUAUAAGUAAAUCCUUACACAUAUAACUUAGCUCCCAAGUAGCAUGGAACACGAGGAAUUCUGUGUGAAUCAGUGAGGACCAUAUCUCAUAAGGCUAAAUACUCUUACUAACCGAUAGCGCAUAGUACCGUGAGGGAAAGGUGAAAAGAACCCCUGGAGGGGAGUGAAAUAGAACCUGAAAUUGUGUGCUUACAAGCGGUCAAAGCCCAUUUGGGUGAUGGCGUGCCUUUUGGAGAAUGAUCCUGCGAGUUACGUUAAACGGCGAGGUUAAGUAUAACGGAGCCGAAGGGAAACCAAGUCUUAAUAGGGCGAUAUAGUCGUUUGGCGUAGACGCGAAACCUGGUGAUCUAAACCUGUCCAGGAUGAAGCUGUGGUAAGACACAGUGGAGGUCCUAACCCACCGCCGUUGAAAAGUUGGGGGAUGAGGUAGGUUUAGGGGUGAAAAGCCAAUCGAACCAGGAGAUAGCUCGUUCUCUCCGAAAUGCAUCUAGGUGCAGCCUUGAGUGUUCAAUUAUGGGGGUAGAGCACUGAAUGAUCUAGGGGGCAUAUUGCUUACUGAAAUCAAUCAAACUCCAAAUACCAUAAUUUAUAGCUCAGGAGUGAGACCAUGGGAGUUAACUUCCAUUGUCAAAAGGGAAACAACCCAGACCACCAGCUAAGGUCCCUAAUUAUAACUAAGUGGGAAAGGAGGUGGAGAUUCACAAACAACUAGGAGGUUGGCUUAGAAGCAGCCAUACCUUUAAAGAGUGCGUAAUAGCUCACUAGUCGAGAGUCUCUGCGCCGACAAUGUAACGGGGCUAAGUUAUAAACCGAAGCUGUGGAAUCCUUAUGGAUUGGUAGGAGAGCGUUCUGUAGGCCGUUGAAGAAGAAGGGUAACCAACUUUGGAGGUAUCAGAAGUGAGAAUGCAGGAAUAAGUAGCGAGAAAGGGGGCGAGAAUCCCCCUCGCCGGAAGACCAAGGUUUUCAGGGUAAAGCUUGUCUUCCCUGAGUAAGCCGGGACCUAAGCCCAGGCUAUAAUGCGUAGGCGAAUGGAAAACAGAUUAAUAUUUCUGUGCCAGUCAUUUAUUGUGAUGGAGGGACGCAGAAGGGUAUGUGCGCGGACGAUUGGUUGUGUCCGUAGAAGUAUGUAGGGUGACUUAGUAGGAAAAUCCAUUAAGUUAUAUCUGAGGUAUGAUAUACAGUCGUAAGAUGAAUGUGCAAAUCCCACGCUGCCAAGAAAAACUUCUAGCGUUAAUAUAUGACUGCCCGUACUGUAAACCGACACAGGUGGUCAGGAUGAGAAAUCUAAGGCGGACAGGCUAACUCUCGUUAAGGAACUCUGCAAAAUAACCUCGUAACUUCGGGAGAAGAGGAGCCCUUGUGUGUGAGUAUACAUGCGAUACAAAGCGCACGAGGGUCGCAGUGAAGAGGCUCAAGCAACUGUUUAACAAAAACACAGGUCUAUGCUAAGCUGUAAGGCGAUGUAUAUGGGCUGACACCUGCCCAGUGCUGGAAGGUUAAGAGGAGGAGUGAGAGCUCCGAAUUGAAGCCCCAGUGAACGGCGGCCGUAACUAUAACGGUCCUAAGGUAGCGAAAUUCCUUGUCGGGUAAG
rnacentral:rRNA from 1 species